GACGAACGCUGGCGGCGUGCCUAAUACAUGCAAGUUGAGCGCUGAAGGUUGGUACUUGUACCAACUGGAUGAGCAGCGAACGGGUGAGUAACGCGUGGGGAAUCUGCCUUUGAGCGGGGGACAACAUUUGGAAACGAAUGCUAAUACCGCAUAAAAACUUUAAACACAAGUUUUAAGUUUGAAAGAUGCAAUUGCAUCACUCAAAGAUGAUCCCGCGUUGUAUUAGCUAGUUGGUGAGGUAAAGGCUCACCAAGGCGAUGAUACAUAGCCGACCUGAGAGGGUGAUCGGCCACAUUGGGACUGAGACACGGCCCAAACGCCUACGGGAGGCAGCAGUAGGGAAUCUUCGGCAAUGGACGAAAGUCUGACCGAGCAACGCCGCGUGAGUGAAGAGGGUUUUCGGAUCGUAAAACUCUGUUGGUAGAGAAGAACGUUGGUGAGAGUGGAAAGCUCAUCAAGUGACGGUAACUACCCAGAAAGGGACGGCUAACUACGUG
rnacentral:rRNA from 1 species